UUGCCAGUUAAAGUCUGGCCGUGGGACUUCGGCAGUUCGCCCACGUAGCUGGAGGGAGGUGUAAAGGGUAACCUGAAGCACUAAGUUCCCUAACAAAGGCUCAGGAAGUGAGUCGAGCAAACCUGCGGGUUGCAGCGAAA
rfam:Deltaproteobacteria bacterium RBG_16_49_23 RBG_16_scaffold_3241, whole genome shotgun sequence.